UAGGGUGAACCUGCGGAAGGAUCAUUAUUGAAUUGUGAAUGGGGCUUGAUGCUGGCUUGUCAUCCUUUGGCUGCAUGUGCUCGCCCCAGCAAUCCUUUUCCAAACACCUGUGCACCUUCCUUGUGAGAAUGUGAGAGAAAGCGCUUGUCUCUUUUAUCUCGUCUCAUGAUUCAUAAACGCUGCUUGUAAUGUUGAAUGCAUUUAUGCCGUCAAGGCUUUAACCUAAUACAACUUUUGACAACGGAUCUCUUGGCUCUCGCAUCGAUGAAGAACGCAGCGAAAUGCGAUAAGUAAUGUGAAUUGCAGAAUUCAGUGAAUCAUCGAAUCUUUGAACGCACCUUGCGCUCCCUGGUAUUCCGGGGAGCACGCCUGUUCGAGUGUCGUGAAACUAUCAAGCCAGGAUGCUUUCUUGCUUCCUGACCUUGGUUUAUUGGGCUUUGCCGUGCCCUUCAUUGGAACGGCUGGCCUUAAAAGCAUUAGCUGACUCCAUGUGGUUAUUGGUAUUCUACUUGGCGUGAUAAUAAUCUGACCGCUGAGAAAGUGUCCUUUCGGGGAUGGCCAAUUUUCAUGUGGGGUUGCUUCUAAUCUCUGGAGCUCAUGUUCCAUUUUCAACUUUGGCCUCGAAUCAGG
rnacentral:rRNA from 1 species